AGUAACACGUGGAUAACCUACCUAUAAGACUGGGAUAACUUCGGGAAACCGGAGCUAAUACCGGAUAAUAUAUUGAACCGCAUGGUUCAAUAGUGAAAGACGGUUUUGCUGUCACUUAUAGAUGGAUCCGCGCCGCAUUAGCUAGUUGGUAAGGUAACGGCUUACCAAGGCAGCGAUGCGUAGCCGACCUGAGAGGGUGAUCGGCCACACUAGAACUGAGACACGGUCCAGACUCCUACGGGAGGCAGCAGAU
rnacentral:rRNA from 1 species